ACCUGGGUGGCUCAGUCAGUUGAGCAUCUGACUUCGGCUCUGGUCACGGUCUCAGAAUUCAUGGGUUCGAGGCCCGUAUCAGGCU
rnacentral:tRNA from 1 species